UUCUACGACCGAGCCGGGGCCGUGGAGCCCGGGUACCCCCGGCCGCUGAACCUCUGGAAGGGGGUGCCCGCCGGGCUGGACGACAUCAUCAGCUGGAAUGACGGAAGCACCUACUUUUUCAAGGGCUCCCAAUACUGGCGCUUUCUGGGGGGCAGCGUGGAGGCUGAGAGUGGCUACCCCAAGUCAGCUGCCCAGGACUGGAUGUAUUGCCAGGGUGCCCCCACUGCAUCUCCGGCCCCAGGGCCCCGUGGAAGGUGGGGGGAGCCUGGAGGUGGCCAGUGCCUCUGCAGUGGGGCCCCGCCAGGCCCUCUGGCAGCCCUCCUGACUUGGAUCCUGGCUCUGGCAUGGGCCCUGCGGUGACCCCUGCCGUGCUGCGCCGAUGCACUUUAUGUGAUCCCACUGCUGGCACCAGAGCCUGUUCGCAGCGUCCCCCUCUUACCACCAGAGGGUG